UCUUGGUCAUUUAGAGGAAGUAAAAGUCAUAACAAGGUUUCUGUAGGUGAACCUGCAGAAGGAUCAUUAAAGAAUUUGAGCAAAUGCGCUCUGCGCAUUGCACACCUCGUGUGUGUGAUGCGCAUCUCUUUAUCUUCCACACCAAACUACGGAGAGUCGACUUAUGUUGACUUGUCCGGAAGGGAUGGGUAGUUUCGACUACCUGUUCCGACCUCUUUUAAACUCAUACAUAUAACGAAUGUUCAACCUAUUGUCUUCGGACAUGAAUAAAAUACAACUUUUGACAACGGAUCUCUUGGUUCUCCCAUCGAUGAAGAACGCAGCGAAUUGCGAUAAGUAAUGUGAAUUGCAGAAUUCAGUGAAUCAUCGAAUCUUUGAACGCACCUUGCGCCUUUGGGUAUUCUCAAAGGCAUGCCUGUUUGAGUGUCAUAACAAUCUCAUCUCUCAACUUUUUUGUAAAAGAAGGUUGCUUGGAGAUGGUGAUGGGUGUUUGCCAUGCUGUACAAGUCUGGCUCGCCUUAAAGACAUCAGUAGCUCUUAUGGAGUCCGGUCUGACUAUGUGUGAUAAUUUGAUCGCAUAGGAUGUGCUUGCACAACCGGUCUUGUUGUUAAGAGUCUGCUUCUAACCUGGAAUGGUAUGAGAGUAACUUUCAGCCAUCGCAGCUUUUUUUGUCUGACCUCAAAUCAGGUAGGACUACCCGCUGAACUUAAGCAUAUCAAUAAGCGGAGGA
rnacentral:rRNA from 1 species